GCCGUGUUUCCAGUUCUUUACGUCGGUGUUGCUUGAGAAUGUGAAUUUGGUCAUCUCGGGCCAACUUUGCGCGUCCAUCCCUCAGGACAACCUCGACAUCGCCGGUGAUCCAGCGGUAGCAGGGGAACUCGAUGUAGUCCCCGUGGGGCGUCUUCAGCGUGAUGUACUUCAGGUACCAGUCGUCAUUCAGCCAGUACUUGCGCUUCUCGAUUCUGACCAGCUGGAUCUCGCCCAGUUCCUCGUCCACAGUCACGUCGUAUGAAUCCACCGCGCCACGCUCGAAGUCGUUGUAGAAGGGCUUGUCCAGCAGGUGCUUCUCGCUGCAGCCCGCCGAGCCCACGAGGCUGAGGUAGAUGUAGUCGUCAGUGCCGGCGAACCACUGGCUGCCAGUGGCCACGGUGACCGUGUAGGAGGGCAUGGCGCGGGCCGCGGGAGCAGCGAGCGCCGGGAGCCUCGGCGCGGCGGUCCAGGUGUCCGCAUCUAGCGCCGCAGCCU
rnacentral:lncRNA from 1 species